rnacentral:rRNA from 1 species
UACGGAGGGUGCAAGCGUUAAUCGGAAUUACUGGGCGUAAAGCGCGCGUAGGCGGUUAGGUCAGUUGUGUGUGAAAGCCCCGGGCUUAACCUGGGAACUGCAUGCAAUACUGCCUAGCUAGAGUACAGUAGAGGGGAGUAGAAUUCACAGUGUAGCGGUGAAAUGCGUAGAUAUUGUGAGGAAUACCAGUGGCGAAGGCGGCUCCCUGGACUGAUACUGACGCUGAGGUGCGAAAGCGUGGGUAGCGAACAGG